UUGCGAGUUGGUAUUUCCCACCGGAGGUUGAUUACAGGCUCGAUGCACUGCCUCCAGAUGCCAAAGGACUUGUGGAGUGGAUAAUUGAAGCCAAGGUUCUUUCCAAGUCGGAAUUGCAGUUUCUCGCUCUGAUUCCCUUGCUGUGACCCAAAGUCAGGGUCAUUGCUGAAUGCGGUAACUGGAGAAAGUGUAUGUGGAAGCCACUCAAAGAGAUUGCGGGACUAACUGAGAUUAAGGAAGUAUGACAACACAAAGACCUACACAGAGAACGUCAGCACAUAUUCUGUGUCUGGCUUUGCUCCGAUCGUCCUCUCAGCUUAAGGCAUCUAUAAUGCACGGCAGGUGGGACAAAAGUUCAAGAAGAUUUUAAUGGAGAACAGGAAACAAGCCAGAGCCCUUGCAAAUCAUUAACCAAGCAAGUACUAUGUUCUUCUUGAACUGAUGUAGUACAGAAUAUAUUUCAAUCCAA